rnacentral:rRNA from 1 species
CAGUGUACCCGCGGCAAGACGGAAAGACCCCGUGAACCUUUACUAUAGCUUGACACUGAACAUUGAGCCUUGAUGUGUAGGAUAGGUGGGAGGCUUUGAAGCGUGGACGCCAGUCUGCGUGGAGCCGACCUUGAAAUACCACCCUUUAAUGUUUGAUGUUCUAACGUGGACCCGUUACCCGGGUUGCGGACAGUGUCUGGUGGGUAGUUUGACUGGGGCGGUCUCCUCCUAAAGAGUAACGGAGGAGCACGAAGGUUGGCUAAUCCUGGUCGGACAUCAGGAGGUUAGUGCAAUGGCAUAAGCCAGCUUGACUGCGAGCGUGACGGCGCGAGCAGGUGCGAAAGCAGGUCAUAGUGAUCCGGUGGUUCUGAAUGGAAGGGCCAUCGCUCAACGGAUAAAAGGUACUCCGGGGAUAACAGGCUGAUACCGCCCAAGAGUUCAUAUCGACGGCGGUGUUUGGCACCUCGAUGUCGGCUCAUCACAUCCUGGGGCUGAAGUAGGUCCCAAGGGUAUGGCUGUUCGCCAUUUAAAGUGGUACGCGAGCUGGGUUUAGAACGUCGUGAGACAGUUCGGUCCCUAUCUGCCGUGGGCGCUGGAGAACUGAGGGGGGCUGCUCCUAGUACGAGAGGACCGGAGUGGACGCAUCACUGGUGUUCGGGUUGUCAUGCCAAUGGCACUGCCCGGUAGCUAAAUGCGGAAGAGAUAAGUGCUGAAAGCAUCUAAGCACGAAACUUGCCCCGAGAUGAGUUCUCCCUGAGACUUAAAGUCUCCUGAAGGAACGUUGAAGACGACGACGUUGAUAGGCCGGGUGUGUAAGCGCAGCGAUGCGUUGAGCUAACCGGUACUAAUGAACCGUGAGGCUUAACCUUA